rnacentral:rRNA from 1 species
CGGCGAGUGAAGCGGCAACAGCUCAAAUUUGAAAGCUGGCCCCCCCCGGGGGUCCGCGUUGUAAUUUGUAGAGGAUGAUUCGGCGAGGGCUCCCGCCUAAGUCCCCUGGAACGGGGCGUCAUAGAGGGUGAGAAUCCCGUAUGCGGUGGGCUGCCUUAGCCAUGUGAAUCUCCUUCGACGAGUCGAGUUGUUUGGGAAUGCAGCUCUAAAUGGGAGGUAAAUUUCUUCUAAAGCUAAAUACCGGCCAGAGACCGAUAGCGCACAAGUAGAGUGAUCGAAAGAUGAAAAGCACUUUGGAAAGAGAGUUAAAAAGUACGUGAAAUUGUUGAAAGGGAAGCGCUUGCAGCCAGACUUGCCCGCAGUUGCUCAGCCGGUCUCCUGACCGGCGCACUCUUCUGCGGCCAGGCCAGCAUCAGUUCGGGCGGUCGGAUAAAGGCCCCGGGAACGUAGCUCCUCUCGGGGAGUGUUAUAGCCCGGGGUGGAAUGCGGCCAGCCUGGACUGAGGAUCUCGCU